AGUGAACGCUGGCGGUAGGCCUAACACAUGCAAGUCGAACGGCAGCACAGGAGAGCUUACUCUCUGGGUGGCGAGUGGCGGACGGGUGAGGAAUACAUCGGAAUCUACUCUGUCGUGAGGGAUAACGUAGGGAAACUUACGCUAAUACCGCAUACGACCUACGGGUGAAAGCAGGGGACCUUCGGGCCUUGCGCGAUGGAAUGAGCCGAUGUCGGAUUAGCUAGUUGGCGGGGUAAAGGCCCACCAAGGCGACGGUCCGUAGCUGGUCUGAGAGGAUGAUCAGCCACACUGGAACUGAGACACGGUCCAGACUCCUACGGGAGGCAGCAGUGGGGAAUAUUGGACAAUGGGCGCAAGCCUGAUCCAGCCAUACCGCGUGGGUGAAGAAGGCCUUCGGGUUGUAAAGCCCUUUUGUUGGGAAAGAAAUCCAGCUGGCUAAUACCCGGUUGGGAUGACGGUACCCAAAGAAUAAGCACCGGCUAACUUCGUGCCAGCCGCCGCGGUAA
rnacentral:rRNA from 1 species